CUUGCUAGAAACGCGUCACGUAACUGACCGCCCGGGACAUUAUCGCUGAUAACAGAAAGACGUUUAUAUCCAUGGUAUUUUUAACCUACGUUUAGUAAUUGUUUUUGCCGCCAUCCUAUUUUAAAUUAUAAUUAUGUAUUUACCUAUACUGCGUCCAAAAGUAGAUACAAGUUAUAAUAUUAUAAUCUAUCUUGUUUAGAUCAUACAUCGGAUAUUAAAUAUUAAUACCAAAAGCGAGACGGAAAUUAGUACAUGUCGUAAUAAAAAGCAAUAAUCAUAUCACUGAAAAACAAAAUUGAAACGAUUACUNGUCCAAAAGUAGAUACAAGUUUUAAUAUUAUAAUCCAUCUUGUUUAGAUCAUAUAUCGGAUACUAACAAUUAAUACCAAAAGCGAGACGAAAAUUAGUACAUGUCGUAAUAAAAAGCAAU